rnacentral:rRNA from 1 species
ACAGGUGCUGCAUGGCUGUCGUCAGCUCGUGUCGUGAGAUGUUGGGUUAAGUCCCGCAACGAGCGCAACCCUCGCCCUUAGUUGCCAGCAUUCAGUUGGGCACUCUAAGGGGACUGCCGGUGAUAAGCCGAGAGGAAGGUGGGGAUGACGUCAAGUCCUCAUGGCCCUUACGGGCUGGGCUACACACGUGCUACAAUGGUGGUGACAGUGGGCAGCGAAGGAGCGAUCCCGAGCUAAUCUCCAAAAGCCAUCUCAGUUCGGAUUGCACUCUGCAACUCGAGUGCAUGAAGUUGGAAUCGCUAGUAAUCGCGGAUCAGCACGCCGCGGUGAAUACGUUCCCGGGCUGGUAC